UGCGUAGGCGGCGCGGUAAGUCGGGUGUGAAAUCUCGGAGCUUAACUCCGAAACUGCAUUCGAUACUGCCGUGCUUGAGGACUGGAGAGGAGACUGGAAUUUACGGUGUAGCGGUGAAAUGCGUAGAUAUCGUAAGGAAGACCAGUGGCGAAGGCGGGUCUCUGGACAGUUCCUGACGCUGAGGCACGAAGGUCGGGGGGAGCAAACG
rnacentral:rRNA from 1 species